rnacentral:lncRNA from 1 species
AAACAAAUCUCAUCUCAAAUUAAUAUUAUUAAAGCCACAAAUUAUUACUUUACAUAAAUACUUCGGUCUGCCAGAAAAACUAGGCGAGACCUAAAACUCAGAAAAUUUACAACUGAUACAUCUACUAAUUACUACUGCGGAGAAUCUAAGAUUUACCAAUUUACAUACCAAAUCAAAUACAUCACCCGAUGAUGAAGGAGUCGGGUUACUGAAUAAGAGUCGCGGGAGGACUAACAGUCAUGAAUAUGAAAAACAGUAAAAAUGAGACUGUCAGUCUCGAGAGUGAGUUGAAAUCAUAUAUCUAAAACAGUUUCAAACAUUUCAAUAUCACAUUCAUUUAAUUUUAAAAAUAAUUAAUAAAUCACGCGAACCAUACGUGUCAUGUUAAGACAUAUGUGUCAUGCCAUACUUAAACAAAAAUUAUUCCAUAUGCAACGGGACGGAGUACUUCAGUAUAACCCUAAUCCCAACUCUAACAUCUCGAUUUAUUUCAACACUUAUGUCUCAACUAACCUCAACUCUAACAUCUCAAACCUCUCAUUCCAACAAGACUGGCGCCUAGAGAGCAAAGCUCGACCAGGGACCUUACCUCCAGUCCAGUCACUUAACUCUCAGCCUUAGCCUUUCGGCUUUCUUAUCCAAUAAGACUGGCGCCCAGAGAGCAUAGCUCGACCAGGGACCUUACCUCCAGUCUGGUCACUUAAAUUUCCAAAUAAGCCGGUGCCCAGAGAGCAAUGCUCGACCAGGGACCUUUACUCCGGCAACCACACUCUACUAAGCCCAGAGAGCGAUGCUCGACCAGGGCAGGUCCUAAUCUUUCUUUCUCAAAAUUUAUACCUCUUUACCCUUUUCCUAUCUCUAUCAUAUUAUAUUGGAACACUCAUCCAACUCCUAUGUUCUACUGCCGUCCCAUCCUGAGUCAUCAUACAAUAUUAAAAUUUGUGAUAAAGGAAAAACAUAUUUAUAUAGUAAUUAAAAGCAUCAUGAAAAUAAUGAUAAUAAUUAAAUGAAAAAUUAAAAUUGCAAAUGAAUAAUCACAGUAGCAAAUCAAAUUUUAUGCAUGACAUGUGCAUAAGCGAUAUAUGACUUUAACUCACAGAAUUGGGCGACCUCCUAGCUCUGCUCCGGUGCCUCAGUUGGAGCGAGCCGAACAGACAGAUCAUCUAAUCACGGAAAACAAUUUAUCAAAACGAUGAAACAAUUACAAUAGAUCCUAGGUCUAGAUUCCUAGGACUCACUGUCUAAGAAUCUCGACUCAGGAACUACCGAAAAUUCAGCAGAACCUCCCCUACAACACGAACAUUACCCCCCGUAAAAACGGGUCCAGGACCUGCUAGAAAAACACUCCAAAUGUCCAACACUUUAAACAAUGGGAGUCGGGUCCCUAAACUUCACUAUUUCCCCACUCCGCCACACAGCACAAAAACACGACUAUGGCAGGCAAACUGACAAACAAUUAUUUAUGACUCACAAAUAUCAUCAAAUACUCAAUAUAACCCAAUAAACACAAAUUUAAAAUCAAAGGAUUUCUAAGAUCAACGGCCAGAGAAAAUUACCGAGACGCUCGAUCGCUCGGUCGACUAGCCUCCGGCCGCCGGAGUCCGAUCGACGAUCCGAACACACCAUCGGACUCACAACGACGCGCUGAUGACGAUCCCCGCUUUCGAUUUUUCGAUCUGACACCCGAUCAUCCUGAGAGAUUUGCGGACGAUCUCGACCGUCGAUUCGCAAACGAAGCCCGAUCGCCACGAAACCAGUGCCAUCGAGAAGCUUGAGCUGAGGAGAGUCGGGAUACGUCCUUCGAUCGUCCAUCCUCCGCCGGAGCUCGCCGGAAAAACCAGAAAACACGGCUGCCACCACUUCGCCAGAACUCUCUCCUCCGGCCACCAAAACCGACGCCGCUGCCGCCAAAAGGAAGCUCUCUCCAAGGGGAGCUGAUUGCCACCAAGAUCGGCCGGAAAGGCCGCCGGAAACGGCCGGAACGACGCUCGGAAGCCGCUGCCACACGUCGCGCGAUUCCGCCGCCUGCCGACGCUGCCAGCUGCCUCCACCGCCACCAUCGUGCUCGCCGUUGCCGCCCGCUCCUUCCAACGUCAACACCGCCCUCGGCCUGGCCUCCAGCGUCCGUCCCCCAUGGACGCCGACGGCUCUCUCUCUCCUCCCUUUCUUCUUCUUCCUUCUUUCUUUUCUCUCUCCCCGAUUUCCAUUCCUUUCAAUAUCGACAUUAGGCCCCCGAACUUUUCCUUAUUGCAAUUUGAUCCCUCAACUUUCUUAAUUACUUACAACUUCAUCCUGCAAAAUUCCAAUUUGACCCCCAAACUUCUUUUUAGCCUUUCAAUUAAGCCCUUAACUAAUUAAUUUGGGCUAAAUUAGAAUUACUGAAAAUACACAAUUACAAAAAUCCCCUGACCGACAUAUUUAUUUACGAAAAUACCAAACUCACAAAUUUCCAUUAAAACCCCAUAAAAAUAAAAUUAUACUUUUAAUCCUUAUUCCAAAAUAAAUUUCCAAUUUAGUCCUAACACACAAUUAAAUUAAAUUAAAUAAUCAAUUUCCAACUUAAAAUUUAAUACUACUAAUCAAUUAUAAUACAAAUUUUUUUCUAAAAUUCUUUUAUAAAAACAUCCCUUACAAUUUCUACCAUAAUUUUCCAAUAUAUAAUUUUACUUAUAUAAAUAUGCAUUUGGAAAAAUUUUGAAUAACUAAAUAAAAAAUAUAAUUUAUUCCUCAAAUAAUUUAUUUAAUUAACUCUUUAAAAAUCAAACUAAUUGGAUAUGGAAAAAUAAUUCAUUAUUAAACAUAUAAAAAUUCGGGGUAUUACAUUCUCCCCCCCUAAAAAAAUAAAUUUGUCCUCGAAUUUUAAGAGAAAAGGGGGCUUCACUCUAAGACUGAAACUAAUUAGGAACCUCUCAUCUCCAACUCGGCUUCUCGGGAACUUUCCUCGGCAAAAACAAACCACAAGACUCAUCGACAAAACCCUCAAAUAAAACUGGCGAACCUGGAAAUUCGCGAUCCUCACUUACUACUCCUCGGAAACUAAAUCUUUACUUACAUUCACACACUGAGGAUCCAACACGAGCAAAGGAUCGAAAAUACACUUCUUGAACUCAGACUUACAAACAACUGGAUUUGACCUCAGAGAACAUUACUUGGCGGCAAGUCCAACUUACAUGCCACCUCACCAACCUGCUGACAAAACCAAGGGUCUCCACACAAGAAGGGCCAAUUCUGAUCCUGCCAAAAAUCCACUCACCAAAUUUCCUUCCUAAUGACGUUUCCCUUACACACGCAGAAAAUUCUUAACAUCCACAUCACAUCAUCAACGACAUAACAUCCAUCUGAUCGCAUCAACCGAUACAACUAUGCCAUCCUGACACAAGAUUCCUCUUUGACUAAAAUUCAAAAGCGUCCUAUAUUAUCUAACAUGAGGCCUACUACGCCACAGAUUCAUUCCCAGCAACUCAACUCGUCAUCCAGAGAAUUCUCAAGCUAACACUAUUUACCUUGAAAAUUUUACUUAUUUAUUUACUUUAUAAUCAUCACUGAUAAAAGCUUUAUUAUCUUGGAAAAAAUACUUUUAUAAAAUCGUAAAAUCUCUAGUCAUUUUUCUUUAUAUAAAAUUCUACAAUAUCGCACGCCAGGGUGAUGAUGCCCCCUAUCACCAAGGGUUGCAAUGCACGAUGUAUGAUGCAUGUCCUAAAAUGAAUUUAUGCAUGCCUAACAGUGAAAUGCCAUAAUGCAUUCUUACGGGACUGGGCGUAAUAUUGUAUUUUAAAACACUUGUUCUACUUAGAAAAAUAAAUAAUGUUCGCUUAAGUUUCUCUGGAUUCCGAGCAUCCGAAAAUACUCCUGCCACCUUUCUUAAGCUUCUUACAACCACAAAACUCAACCAUAAAGCUCUGAUAUCUACUCGACUUCCCAGGCACUAACUUCGGCGCUACUUAAUAAGACGAUGCCUGAUGCGAUGACGAGGAAGUCCAUGACACGACUGCAACCACGCUCUACACUAAAACUGACUGCGGUGCCCACCAUCGAAACCAAAAUCAAAGCUUCUAAAGGCGGACUGCACUAAUCACUUGAAGAAACAGCACGAGUCUAUCGCGCUUCGGAUCCUCCCAUCGCUACAAAGCACAUUCUCAGUACAGCACCAAGGACAAGCUUAUAAGAAAGGAAAGACUGACUCUCUAACAGUGAAGGCUGAGACACUAGAGUCAAUGAAAACAAUAAGACAGACAUGAUCCUAACUCCGCAGUACCAAGAAAAAUCUUAACUUAGGUCGAAGGAAAUCUAAACCUAAGCUCUGAUACCAAUUUUGUCACGACCCCACCCUUGGGCCCAUGACCGACACUAGGGAAUGGGUAGGCUUAAGGCCACCGAAACCCGUAGUAAGCCUGACACUCACUGAUUUAAACAAAUCUCAUCUCAAAUUAAUAUUAUUAAAGCCACAAAUUAUCUUAAAUGCUACACUUUACAUAAAUACUUCGGUCUACCAGAAAAACUAGGCGAGACCUGAAACUCAGAAAAUUUACAACUGAUACAUCUACUAAUUACUACUGCGGAGAAUCUAAGAUUUACCAAUUUACAUACCAAAUCAAAUACAUCACCCGAUGAUGAAGGAGUCGGGUUACUAAAUAAGAGUCGCGGGAGGACUAACAGUCACGAAUCUGAAAAACAGUAAAAAUGAGACUGUCAGUCUCGAGAGUGAGUUAAAAUCAUAUAUCUAAAACAGUUUCAAACAUUUCAAUAUCACAUUCAUUUAAUUUUAAAAAUAAUUAAUAAAUCACGCGAACCAUACGUGUCAUGUUAAGACAUAUGUGUCAUGCCAUGCUUAAACAAAAAUUAUUCCACAUGCAACGGGACGGAGUACUUCAGUAUAACCCUAAUCCCAACUCUAACAUCUCGAUUUAUUUCAACACUUAUGUCUCAACUAACCUCAACUCUAACAUCUCAAACCUCUCAUUCCAACAGGACUGGCGCCCAGAGAGCAAAGCUCGACCAGGGACCUUACCUCCAGUCCGGUCACUUAACUCUCAGCCUUAGCCUUUCGGCUCUCUUAUCCAAUAAGACUGGCGCCCAGAGAGCAUAGCUCGACCAGGGACCUUACCUCCAGUCUGGUCACUUAAAUUUCCAAAUAAGCCGGCGCCCAGAGAGCAAUGCUCGACCAGGGCAGGUCCUAAUCUUUCUUUCUCAAAAUUUAUACCUCUUUACCCUUUUCCUAUCUCUAUCAUAUUAUAUUGGAACACUCAUCCAACUCCUAUGUUCUACUGCCGUCCCAUCCUGAGUCAUCAUGCAAUAUUAAAAUUGGUGAUAAAGGAAAAACAUAUUUAUAUAGUAAUUAAAAGCAUCAUGAAAAUAAU